UUGAAGUGACGACGAAAUGAUCGCCCUUAAAACGUGUCAAACAUACUUCUCGUGAUCAUCUAUAUUCAAUGCCCAUUUGCUCCGCGAUUUCCUCUGAGUAGUCUUCUAGUGCGGUUGCAAUGCUAUAUUAGCAGCGUGACAACAAAAAAAUUUGCUUAACAUCUGUUUUCUUGUGAAUUAAGUCGUUGUUGUUGUUGUAUGUGUCGUUUGUUAAAUGUUUUAGAUCAAGCUACACGAUCGAACUGCUCGCUAUAGUUCAUUGAAUUGAUUAGGCGUGCAAUUGGGUGACGCCUUACCCGGUGGUUAACGACCUGUUUACGUCGGCCUGCGCGGUAAUAACACCGCUUGUAUGGCCAUGUUCACACAUGUGGCCCCGCGUACAGCGAAUGCAUCAACCUGAGGUGCUGAUCCGACUUCAACUGACGAAGGACCUGUCGGAAACGAUCAGUAGCCUUAAUACGAGCUGCACACGAAACACAUCGCGCGGUUUCGGAGUCUGGUUUAACGGUUUUGCAUGUACUGCGUAUCGCAUAGGAGACCCAGCAAAUCUACUUCAGGGAAAGCUGGGUGCUCAUAUGAACUAUCGGUAACCAUUCCCAGUGGCGUUGACUCAAGCAAACGGCAACACUGGUCGACGCUGCAGAGUGCGAAAUCAUCCAGGAAGCAUCCGAACUAAGGUUACGCAUCUGAUCUCAUCAAACAUUUGACUGACGUUUCGUAAUCCAAGUACUUUAAAGCAAGCUCAUUAAAAUUCAUAAGAAGAACAACAGGUGCUUCUAAUGCUGCAAAUUUACGAAACGGUAUUAAAAAAGAGAGUGCGAAAAUCGCAUGGGGUCGUGCAGGUUCCUUCCGGAUUAUCAGCCAGCAGAGGUUUAUCGAAUAUAUAUAUAUAUAUACGAUAAACCGAUAUGAAUUACCGCAAAAGAGGAAGGCUUAGCUCAAUGUGAGUCGGGCCGUCUCCGUCGAUUGGUCUACGAGAGUCGUUUUGAAAGGAGCGGCAGGCAGCGUUAAGCCGUGACCGAAUCGCUCGGAAAUUGCGGUCAAGCGACCUAGCGACGGGUCUGACUAGUCUCGCUCUAUGCCUCUCUCCCUUGUUGUUGAUCCACAACUAGAUCUUCUAUUGGAAAUCAAAAAACCCAUGAGUCUACAAAUUGGCGUACUUGUUAAAAACACUAGAUAUAGAUAACGCUGCAGUUUACGCAAGCAAAAAAUGCUCAUUCUUCAAUAAUAAUAAAUA